rnacentral:rRNA from 1 species
GAUGAACGCUGGCGGCGUGCCUAAUACAUGCAAGUCGAGCGAACAGACGAGGAGCUUGCCCCUCUGACGUUAGCGGCGGACGGGUGAGUAACACGUGGAUAACCUACCUAUAAGACUGGGAUAACCUCGGGAAACCGGAGCUAAUACCGGAUAAUAUAUUGAACCGCAUGGUUCAAUAGUGAAAGACGGUUUUGCUGUCACUUAUAGAUGGAUCCGCGCCGCAUUAGCUAGUUGGUAAGGUAACGGCUUACCAAGGCAACGAUGCGUAGCCGACCUGAGAGGGUGAUCGGCCAAACUGGAACUGAGACACGGUCCAGACUCCUACGGGAGGCAGCAGUAGGGAAUCUUCCGCAAUGGGCGAAAGCCUGACGGAGCAACGCCGCGUGAGUGAUGAAGGUCUUCGGAUCGUAAAACUCUGUUAUUAGGGAAGAACAAAUGUGUAAGUAACUAUGCACGUCUUGACGGUACCUAAUCAGAAAGCCACGGCUAACUACGUG